GAGAGAGAGACGAUCCGAGUCAUCCUUAAAUAUGGGCAGGAUAUCAGUCUUGGACUGUCUAACCUGCCGGAGCAGCACUGAAUGAUCACCACACAUGAGCAUGUUCCUGCAACAUUCAGCAUCUGAUCUGCCAUCUGUGUGCUUCUGCUUUUGUGUCAAAUGUCAAACAGCUGGAGAGGAAACUACACCAGUGUACUGGGAUGUUUCACCAACACGUGCCAGACGCUGUUCCUUCAUGGUGACAUCACCAGAGACAGUCCCGCCCACCUCAGGACCUCUCCAUUGAUCAUGAUGAUUAUAAUAAUGACAGCGAGCGGAACUAAGACUGUAAAAAUCCAUGACCAGAAUGUUUAGAUGCUUUCUAAUUAUUAAUGAAUACUGAGAGU
ensembl:lncRNA